AGCGGCGGACGGGUGAGUAACACGUGGGUAACCUGCCUGUAAGACUGGGAUAACUUCGGGAAACCGGAGCUAAUACCGGAUAAUUUCUUUUCUCGCAUGAGAGAAGAUGGAAAGAUGGUUUCGGCUAUCACUUACAGAUGGACCCGCGGCGCAUUAGCUAGUUGGUGAGGUAACGGCUCACCAAGGCCACGAUGCGUAGCCGACCUGAGAGGGUGAACGGCCACACUGGGACUGAGACACGGCCCAGACUCCUACGGGAGGCAGCAGUGGGGAAUAUUGGACAAUGGGCGCAAGCCUGAUCCAGCAACGCCGCGUGAGGGAUGACGGCCUUCGGGUUGUAAACCUCUUUCAGUACCGACGAAGCGCCGAUGAUGGUGGUGACGGUAGGUACAGAAGAAGCACCGGCCAACUACGUGCCAGCAGCCGCGGUAAUACGUAGGGUGCGAGCGUUGUCCGGAAUUAUUGGGCGUAAAGGGCUCGUAGGCGGUUUGUCGCGUCGGGAGUGAAAACACCGGGCUUAACUCGGUGCUUGCUUUCUAUACGGGCAGACUAGAGGUAUGCAGGGGAGAACGGAAUUCCUGGUGUAGCGGUGAAAUGCGCAGAUAUCAGGAGGAACACCGGUGGCGAAGGCGGUUCUCUGGGCAUUACCUGACGCUGAGGAGCGAAAGUGUGGGGAGCGAACAGGAUUAGAUACCCUGGUAGUCCACACCGUAAACGUUGGGCGCUAGGUGUGGGGCCUAUUCCAUGGGUUCCGUGCCGCAGCUAACGCAUUAAGCGCCCCGCCUGGGGAGUACGGCCGCAAGGCUAAA
rnacentral:rRNA from 1 species